GACGAACGCUGGCGGCGUGCUUAACACAUGCAAGUCGAACGGAAAGGCCCUGCUUUUGUGGGGUGCUCGAGUGGCGAACGGGUGAGUAACACGUGAGUAACCUGCCCUUGACUUUGGGAUAACUUCAGGAAACUGGGGCUAAUACCGGAUAGGAGCUCCUGCUGCAUGGUGGGGGUUGGAAAGUUUCGGCGGUUGGGGAUGGACUCGCGGCUUAUCAGCUUGUUGGUGGGGUAGUGGCUUACCAAGGCUUUGACGGGUAGCCGGCCUGAGAGGGUGACCGGCCACAUUGGGACUGAGAUACGGCCCAGACUCCUACGGGAGGCAGCAGUGGGGAAUAUUGCACAAUGGGCGGAAGCCUGAUGCAGCAACGCCGCGUGCGGGAGGACGGCCUUCGGGUUGUAAACCGCUUUCACCUGUGACGAAGCGUGAGUGACGGUAAUGGGUAAAGAAGCACCGGCUAACUACGU
rnacentral:rRNA from 1 species